AGAGUUUGAUCCUGGCUCAGAUUGAACGCUGGCGGCAUGCCUUACACAUGCAAGUCGAACGGUAGAGGAGCAAUCCUCGAGAGUGGCGAACGGGUGAGUAAUGUAUCGGAACGUGCCCAGUAGUGGGGGAUAGCCCGGCGAAAGCCGGAUUAAUACCGCAUGAGACCUGAGGGUGAAAGCGGGGGACUCGCAAGAGCCUCGCGCUACUGGAGCGGCCGAUAUCAGAUUAGGUAGUUGGUGGGGUAAAAGCCUACCAAGCCUGCGAUCUGUAGCUGGUCUGAGAGGACGACCAGCCACACUGGGACUGAGACACGGCC
rnacentral:rRNA from 1 species